AAGGUCAGCAUGUCUUAUCCUAGCAUCCAACGUUAAGUUCCCCUAUGUUGGAAGAUUCUCAGGAAUAGUGGGAUAGAGGCUCUUCUUGGCUGCCUGCAGCAGGAGGCUGUAAGACCCAGGGGUAUUAUGACAUGCUCCAGGAAAAGGCAGUUUUUCAUUUGGCCAACGGAGGCCCCAGCCCAUUGGGGCAAGGAAGCCGGACCGACAUGCAACAGGGGCCUGGGGAGCAGCCCUCAAGGGUCCCGAAGAAGAAGGUCGAGGCUGGGCCGGAGACUGUGAGUCAGACUAUUUCGGGCCGCGGUCGGGUGCUGCUAAUAAGAGAGUACUUGAAGCAGGAAGAGAGCUACACGACCCUGCAGAACGUUCUGGGUCAGCCUCGGAAGGAUCCGAACGCUGAGCCCACCUACAGUCAAGCAACAGACAGCCAAAGUAGUUCCAGCAGUGCCAGGAGGGAACUCAAGCGCACCAGCGACUGCUUGCCUGACAGCCCGGAAGCCCCGGCCGCCAAGUCCAAGCGCUGCAAGGAGAAGUCGGAGAAGCCUGAGAACCCGGAGGAGCCCGAGAACCCGGAGAAGCAUAAGCCGGAGAAGAAGCAGCUCAAGGAUCUCAAGGAAAAGGACUUGCCCGAUCACAAGGGACCUCGAACGCUACAUGGGGCCUGCAGCUCGACUCAGAUCACCGAGCUAACCUCGGAGCCCGGCAAGCAGCUGCUCCUGGUGCUGUGCCAUGCAUCGGCUCUGGGCACGCAGCUGCCGCGGCUGCAGCUGCUCCUGCAGCAGGUGCGCGUCCAGGACCGCCGCCCGCCCGCCGCCCUCGUCGGGAUCCUGGUGCAGCCGCGGCCGGAUGAGGAAGCAGAGUCGCGCCGCCGUCUGGAGGACCUGCUCUGCAGCAUCUUCGCUUCGGAGAACCCAGGGGUCGAGGUGCACACAGCAGUGUUCUGCCCCAGCCGCCCCCAGGGUGUCCUGGACGUCCAGCGCGCUGCCAGCCAAGCGCACAUGGUCCCCCUAAUGGAUCGCCAGACCCAGACGGAUGAAAACCUUCAAGGAAACACUGUACUCCCCGUAACUCACGUGCUUCAGGCUCUCGGGACUGUUGCUGUGGCUCUGGGGGCCCUGGGAGCUGCCUACUUCAUUGCUGAAUCCUUGUGAACUGAACUCCAGGCCCCAGUCCGGCAGUGGCUGUUUCCACUGACACCUGUGUCCUCCAGCCUGCUCCACAUGGUUCUUUGGAAUGUGUGUGAUCUCUCCCACUCCUCACUCAUUGAGCCAUCUCUGCAUGAGGAUGUCUUCAGUCACCACUCGUGUCUCACCUGAGCCCCCUGGGCCCCAGAAGCAGAGCCGGAAACAAGGACUGGGUGCACCCAAUACCUCAAGGAAGUACCCUCAGGAGAAAGCAGGGGUGGGUGGGGAGAUCCAGUUUCCAACAAAGGAUCUCAACUUGUCACCAAAAUAGAGAGAGAGAAAUA